UUCCUUUGUUUUAACUUCUGAAACCUCUCUUCUGCUGGUGGUUGACACAGUGAGAGCCUAAAAUGGAUUCAGGACUUGUGGAUUUGGUCUUCUCAUGGUCUCUUAGAGAUGUACUUAACGACCAACUCUUCAAAACUAAGGUGAAGAAGAUCCCAGAGACGUUCUUGUCAUUACAGGAUUACUUUAACUCAUAUAUUUCACCCCUCAUUGAGGAAACACAUGCUGAUCUUUGUUCAAGCAUGAUGAAUCUGUCCCAAGCAUCUAAAUGUCAAAUAGUUCAUGUUGAAGAACAUAAACAAGAUUUCAAGCCACCAAAAGAUUUGUUUUAUAACAUUGUCUUAAAAGAGGAUGAAAUCUAUGAGCCUCAAGCAGGAGAUCUCAUUGCUCUAUCAGAUGUAAGACCCAAAUGCAUUGAUGAUUUAAACAGGCCUAGAAGAUCUUAUCUUCUUGCAAUAGUCACAUCAGCAAAAUUUGAAGACGAAGAUGAAGAUAGCUUGUUCUUCAAAAUCCGUACAUCAAAACCCAUUGUGUUUGAACAAGGAGUACAACUGCAGCAGAAGAGGGAGGAACCACUUUUUGCUGUUUAUUUGAUUAACAUGAUAACGAAUAACCGUAUAUGGAAAGCACUGCACCCAGAUAUGCAAGGGGGAAACAUGAACGUUGUCAAGGAGGUCUUGCGCACUGAUUCCACUGUCGGGAUUGAUUGUGAUCUCUGCUUACUGUCAGAAGAUGACAGUAUCAGUGGAAAUUCUCUUCUCCCUAAUCUUCAAACCUUCAACCUCAAUGAAUCACAGACCGAUGCAGUGGUAAGAUCCAUUGCUACAAAGAGUUGCAAUCAUAAGAGUUCGGUGAAACUUAUUUGGGGCCCUCCGGGUACUGGGAAGACAAAGACAGUUGGCACUUUGCUCUGGGUACUUCUAAAACUGAAAUGCAGAACCCUCACAUGCACGCCGACUAAUAUUGCCUUAAUGGAAGUCACAUCACGCCUCCUGAAGUUGGUCAGGGAAUCACUUCAGCAUCACAAUUAUGGCUUGGGAGAUAUAGUGUUAUUUGGUAAUAAGGAGAGAAUGAAGAUUAAGGAUCGUCAAGACCUUCAUGAUGUUUUUUUGGAUUAUCGUGCUCCUAAGCUUGCAAAGUGCUUUGCCCCACUCUCAGGGUGGAAUCAUCAACUAAACUCCAUGAUACGCUUGCUUGAAGAUGCUCAUACUGAGUAUCGUUCUUAUUUGGAGAAGAAAAUGAAGGAAAAGCAGGGCGUUUCUCAAAAUGAGAAAAAAGAAGACAAAAAUAAAAAAGAGAAAGAGGAGGAUACUUCUAAGAAGUUGAAAGGAAAAAACAAGGAAAAAAGGAAGAAAAAAAUUGUUGAUAACUUAAACGAAGACGAAAACAAAAAUACAUGGCAAGAGAAGAUUCUUGCUCAAGACAGUAAACAAUUGAAUAGCCUGGAACCAAAGGAUCCUUCUGAAACCAAGAAAACUGAAGGGCAGGAGAAUGAAAUGAAAGAUGUUUUGAAAAUUGAGGAGUUUAUCAAGAAAAAUUUCACUGAUAUACGGAUGGACCUCAAGUCCUUCGUUCUAAUUUUGUGUAAGCACCUACCUACGUCCAUCAUCUCUGUGAGAGUAGUAGAAGACAUGAUUAAAGCUCUCCAUUUGCUUGAAUCUCUUGGAACUCUGUUACAUGGAUCCGUUACAGAUGAAGAGCUGAAGUGUGUCUUUGUCAAUUCUGAAGAUUUAAAGACAACAGUUUGCGGCUCCAAUAGACUCUUGCUUGAUAAGACCAGAAAUGAGUGCCUUGAGAUUCUCAAAUCCCUUCAUGAAGCAUUUUCUGUUCCCAAAUCUACGAAUAAACAAUUGAUCAAGAAUUUCUGUUUGGAACAUGCUUACCUGAUUUUCUGCACUGCUUCAAGCUCAGCUAAGUUGCACACAGAUGGGACGGCACCAUUGGAGAUGUUGGUUAUUGAUGAAGCAGCACAGCUUAAAGAAUGUGAAUCAGCCAUUCCCCUCCAACUCCCUGGUGUCCGGCAUGCCAUUCUCAUAGGUGACGAACGGCAAUUACCAGCACUGGUUCUAAGCAAGAUUUCGGAGAAGGCUGAAUUUGGAAGAAGUCUGUUUGAAAGGUUGGUAUCAUUGGGACACAAGAAGCAUCUUCUCAAUAUCCAGUAUAGAAUGCACCCAUCAAUAAGCUUAUUCCCAAACACAGAAUUCUAUGGAAAGCAGAUCUUAGAUGCUCCAAAUGUCAAAGAAAGAAGCCAUGAAAGACACUUCCUUCAAGGUAAUAUAUAUGGGCCCUAUUCAUUUAUAAAUGUUGCUUAUGGAACAGAGCAACAUGACGGGUAUGGAAAGAAAAACAUGGUGGAAGUGGCAGUGGUUUCUGAGAUAGUGAACAGCCUCUUCAAAGCAUCAUUUGCUUCAAGGCAGAGGCUUAGUGUUGGUGUAAUAUCCCCAUACAAGGCUCAAGUUUUUGCGAUUAAUGAGAAACUUGGAGACACAUAUGAUACACCGAAUGAGUUCUCUGUGAGUGUUCGGACUGUUGAUGGGUUUCAAGGUGGCGAGGAAGAUGUAAUAAUAAUCUCUACUGUCAGGUCUAAUGGGAAAGGAUCAGUGGGUUUUCUUGCCAAUCUUCAACGUACGAAUGUAGCUUUGACCAGGGCAAGGUACUGCCUCUGGGUAUUGGGGAAUGGUCAAACUUUAAUCAACAGUGGUUCCAUUUGGAGGAAAUUAGUCCUUAACGCAAAGGAUCGGGGGUGUUUUUUUGAUGCUGAUAAGGACAAGUGCUUAAAGGAAGCAAUAAUUGCUGGUCUGGUUGAACUUGGUGAAUUUGACAAGUUACUUAAUACAGAUUCUCUGCUGUUUGGUGGAGCGAGGUGGAAGGUUCUCUUCAGCAAUGAUUUCUGGAAAUCCUUGGCUAAAAUAAGAAGGAUUGAGACUCAGAAAGAAGUGCUUUCUCUAUUAACGAAGCUUGCAAGUGGAUGGCGUCAUACCCAGAAGCAGAAAAAUCUCUACUUAAUGGAUGGAACUUCUUCUGAGCUGCUGAAAGUAAACAAGGUUGAUAGGUUGUUCAAUCUUGUCUGGACUGUUGAUAUUCUCAGAGAAAAUUUCAAGUGCAUCCAAGUCUUGAAAGUUUGGGAUAUUUUACCAAUGCAAGAGAUACCAAAACUGGCUAUGCAAUUGGAUGACGUCUUUGGGAAUUAUACAGUAGAUGAUAUGAACCGCUGCAAGUUCAAAUGUUCUGAAGGGAAGUUGGAAGUUCCAAUGAGUUGGGAAAUCUCAAAUGCUGCAACAUUGAUGGACCUUCACAAUCCCGAACCCCUGCCGUAUUUGUCGAGUCGUUUUGCUGCACUUCAUCUGGGGAAGGAACCAAAUGCAUCAGCACAAGGAUAUAGGUGAGUUUAACCUGCAAAACCAACGAUUUGGCUGGAUCUACAAAGAUGAAACAAAGGAGGAGCAAUCCAGGGAUUGUGAAACAUGCCAAAGAAGAUGGGUUGAUAUGGGCGAAUGAGAAUGUGUCAUCCUCUUCUUCAGAGGAUGAAGGCUCUCUGAUCAGCUCAACUUUCUGCCUGAAGAAGAAUGUCUCCUUGGAAGAGUUCGACCAAGUGGAGGACUGCUACAUCUUGGACUUUGAUGUAUUUGAAUCCAUUGAUCUAUUUGAAAAGCCCUCCCUCAAGGAUGAUGAUGAUGCUGAAGAGCUCUCUGUCACAGGUCAACGAGGACAGGUGGCUUGUCUACAUUAUCCCCAUUCAAGGCAUCUCUGUGCAAAAUUUCCCUUCAACAAAACUCCUCAUGAGGAUUACUGUGAACAGUGCUAUUGUUAUGUAUGUGAUAUAAUUGCCCCUUGCAAAUUCUGGAAGAAACCAGGAGGUUGACAUUGUGAUGCGACAGAGCAUGACGAAUUGUGGAAGAACCUGAGGAGAAAGAAUAAACCAGCGCCACCACCAACCAAUGAAGCAACUGUGUCAUCUUAGUAGCUCUUUACAUGUAUAUAUCUCACAAUGACUUGUAUGUAGCAGUGCUACUGUCAUAAAUCUGAUUCAAUCGCCCCUUGCAAAUCCUGGAAGAAUCCAAAAGGACAUUGUGCUGCAACAGAGCUUGAUGAGUUGUGGAAGAACCUGAGAAAGAAUAAACCAGUGCCACCGCCGACCAGUGAAGCAACUUUGUCAUCUUAGCUCUCUACGUGUAUAUAUAUCUCGAUGACCUGUUUUGGAGUCUGGCAUGCUAGGUGAGCAGUUUUUGUAGCAGGCUACCAAAUCUAACAUGCUAAUGGAUGGUCUACCAGAUGUAGAUUGUGGAUA